rnacentral:lncRNA from 1 species
ACUGGCCCUGGGAAGACCCAGCUUUGAGCCUCAGGUUGUGUCUAAUCAUCUCUCUGUCCUUGGGCCAGUCAACUCACCUGUUCGUGCUGCCACAGAGACAGAGGGGCCACAUCAGAGAGAAAGACUCUACAGCUUGCCCAGAGUCGAGCUUAAAUGGAGCAGCAUGAUUUUUGUCUGAAAAGUCUGAGAUGGGACCAGUGGAAAGGUGUGCAUUUUAAGAAGGAUUUGCUUCCCCAUCUUGUGCCUUCUGUGUCUUGCAGCACGACCUGGCCCUCCACCUAGGAAUCAUACCUUCAUCCCCCAUACUCAUAAGCAUCCUCAUUCCUGUUUCCUUGUGGAUGUCAUGGUCUGCUGUGAAGUCUGCUUGGUGACCCGUCCAGACCUGACUUGGUAUAAAUGAUUUUGUUGCAGAGAAUAACAAGUUCCAUUCAUGCUUCAAAGAGCCAGCAGAUUCAUUCUGGUCAGAACUCUGCUUUCAGUUCAAGUUCCUGCACAAAUCUCCACAUGAAAAGAGAGCAGAAAUCCACCCGGAUGGUUUUUAUUCUGAUGACUUGUGGUGGGACUGCCAGGUUCCAUGACACGGCUUAUUCUAAGAGGGAGGGAAGCGGGUGUAGACACCCACUUUACUGCCCUUUACUGGUGUGACCUUGGCAGAGAAGCUUUCCUUCCUUCUGCACUUUGAGAAUGCUGGAAUAAGAAGCUUUCUAAAGUGCGUCUAGUCCUGAUGUUGUAGAAAUGGUGACAGUUCCAAGCCAUGCCCAGGCUCCUUGAAAGAUCUAGGCCCCUCACUGGAGGGCCCUCAGAGCUCAGGCCCAGCCUGCAGGAUCCUGAAUAUUGAGAUGGGGAACAGUGGGUUCAUUCAUUCCAGUGCACACUUGGCCACACUGUCUCAUGUCAAGGUCAUUUGAGCCCCAGACCCCUGCCCAUCUCCACGUGCCUUGGAUCUCUAGCUGGCCAGCUGGCUAAGCCAGCCAAGCUGAGGAGACCCAUCCUGGGGAGUCACAGGUGGGACCCCCCAACCCCUGCCAGGAGGCAUGAUCUUAAGACAUGGGGGGAAGAUAGGUGAGACCUGUGUGAGGCAAAGUCCCACAGCCAACUCCA